AGAUAUAAACUGAAGAGUUUGAUCCUGGCUCAGAUUGAACGCUGGCGGCAUGCCUAACACAUGCAAGUCGAACGGUAACGCGGAGAGCUUGCUCUCUGGCGACGAGUGGCGGACGGGUGAGUAAUGCUUGGGAAUCUGCCCAGUAGUGGGGGACAACCCGGGGAAACUCGGGCUAAUACCGCAUACGCCCUACGGGGGAAAGCGGGGGAUCUUCGGACCUCGCGCUAUUGGAUGAGCCCAAGUCGGAUUAGCUUGUUGGUGGGGUAAAGGCCCACCAAGGCGACGAUCCGUAGCUGGUCUGAGAGGACGAUCAGCCACACUGGGACUGAGACACGGCCCAGACUCCUACGGGAGGCAGCAGUGGGGAAUAUU
rnacentral:rRNA from 1 species